rnacentral:rRNA from 1 species
GACGAACGCUGGCGGCGUGCCUAAUACAUGCAAGUCGAGCGAGCGGCGGACGGGUGUGUAAUGUAUGGGGCCUGCCCGAUAGAGGGGGAUCUAUACUGGAAACGGUGGCUAAUACCGCAUACUAUCGGAUAACCCAGAUGGGAUUAGCUAGUAGGUGGGGUAAAGGCUCACCUAGGCGACGCUCUCUAGUUGGUCUGAGAGGAUGUAUAGCCACACUGGGACUGAGACACGGCCCAUACUCCUACGGAGGCAGCAGUGGGGAAUAUUGAACAAUGGGCGCAAGCCUGAUGCAGCAAUGCCGCGUGUAUGAAGAAGGCCUGAGGGUUGUAAAGUACUUUCAGCGGGGAGGCGUUACCCGCAGAAGAAGCACCGGCUAACUCCGUGCCAGCAGCCGCGGUAAUAC